rnacentral:rRNA from 1 species
UACAGAGGUCUCAAGCGUUGUUCGGAUUCAUUGGGCGUAAAGGGUGUGUAGGUGGCGCCGUAAGUCGGGUGUGAAAUUUCGGAGCUUAACUCCGAAACUGCAUUCGAUACUGCCGUGCUUGAGGACUGGAGAGGAGACUGGAAUUUACGGUGUAGCGGUGAAAUGCGUAGAUAUCGUAAGGAAGACCAGUGGCGAAGGCGGGUCUCUGGACAGUUCCUGAUGCUGAGGCACGAAGGCCAGGGGAGCAAACGGG